AUAUCACAUACUAUAUGAUUCCACUUAUAUAGCAUUUUCAAAAUGACAAAAUUAAAGAGAUGGAAAGCAGAUUAGUGGUUGUUAGAGGUACAGAUUGUGGUAGAGAGGAAGUGGGUGAGGUAGCAUGAGUGGUAUCUUUGUGGUGAUGUUAUGAGAAGUGCUGUACCUUGAUUGUUGUGGUUACACAAAUCUAUACAUGUGAUAAAGUAAUGGUACUAUGUACACGCAUUGUAGUAAUGUCAAAUUCCUGGUCUUAAAAUUAUACCAUAAUUAUGUGUGACAUAACAAUGCAGGAAACCAGGUGACGGAUACAUGAAACCUCUUUAUUACCUUUGCAUCUUCCUAUAAACAUAUAAUAAUUUUAAAAUAAAAAAUAAAACAAAAAAGGUGAUCUUGACAAUUCAAUGAAGAAACAUAAUGGCUUUGUAUUUUAUAUUGUAAUUCUCUCUCUGUCUAGGAAUAGCUUCCUAACUGCAGUAGUAAGAAGGAGAAUAGAAGAUAGAAAUUAGGGGCUACGGAAAUUACUAUUCAUUGGUCCCUAUCUCUAAGGAGAGAUAUGAAAGAGUCUAGGUCGAAGAAAUAACUAAAAAGUAUUUUUUAAAACUAUAAGGAUAAGGAAACAGAUAAACUUUUUAAAAAAGUAAUUACCUUAACAUGAAAUUCAUUGUCCAAUAGGAUAUUUUGAGUCUUCAAGUCAUGAUGAAGUAAAGGAGGAGUCAUAUUGUGCAGGAGUUAGCAAUCCCCCGGAGGAGGCUGUAGAAUGUCCAGUGAGCUGCAAAUUUGGGUGCCAGAGUAUCUGCUGGGGUGUGGGAAGAAAAUGUUAGAUUUCUACUUAUAUUCAUUUCUCAACAAAAAUAAAAGAGAAAUUGUGAUUUAUUAAUA